rnacentral:rRNA from 1 species
CUACGGGUCGCAGCAGUGGGGAAUAUUGCACAAUGGAGGAAACUCUGAUGCAGCGACGCCGCGUGAGUGAAGAAGUAUUUCGGUAUGUAAAGCUCUAUCAGCAGGGAAGAUAGUGACGGUACCUGACUAAGAAGCACCGGCUAAAUACGUGCCAGCAGCCGCGGUAAUACGUAUGGUGCAAGCGUUAUCCGGAUUUACUGGGUGUAAAGGGAGUGUAGGUGGCAUGGCAAGUCAGAAGUGAAAGCCCAGGGCUCAACCCUGGGACUGCUUUUGAAACUGCCGAGCUAGAGUGCAGGAGAGGUAAGUGGAAUUCCUAGUGUAGCGGUGAAAUGCGUAGAUAUUAGGAGGAACACCAGCGGCGAAGGCGGCUUACUGGACUGUAACUGACACUGAGGCUCGAAAGCGUGGGGAGCAAACAGGAUUAGAUACCCGAGUAGUC